AGCGGCUGGAACCAGCGCAGCUAGCGGCGUCCCUGUCCACUCGACUCGCCUUAACUUAACUUGCUUGCGCUACCACGACAAAAAAAAAAAAUAUGAAUGCUAUAUAACUAUUUUGUCUUGGCCAGACUACUUGGUACAAAACCGUUUACUAAGCUGGAUUAACCAUGAUGCUUGCUCGGUUUCCAUACAAUCGCUCACCCUAUCGGUGACAGUCGCCGGCAGCUGUUGUUGGAAAGGUUGAACCUGGUUCAACUUUGCCGAUCAUUCAGGGAUGGUCCAGAGUGCGAAGGGGUUUCAAAGGCUUAUCUAAUCGAUUUUAGAGCAGCUCUCCCCAACGACGGGGGAGCCGUGCCCUGCCCCCGAUCACCCCUCUGGCGCCACCCCUGCCGAUUUCGUUUCAGACGAAUCAAGGUGCAUCGACUAGCUACCCUGACGUAAUUAUGAAGGCACCCCGAAUCGGCAAAGUUAAACCAGGUUCAACCUUCCCGACAACUGUCGGCGCCUGUCGCCGAUAGGGUGAGCGAUUCUAUGGAAACCGAGCUUUACCUGGGAUAAAGCGGAUUUAUGUUACAGCCGAAUCCACAGCAGUCGUGGUGCUGAUAUUGCUCGAUGGGGGUUGAUAUUCCAAACUAGAGAAGGAAGGGGAUGGGUGCGAUGUCACCAACGUAUGGCCGAUGUUCCCGACAAGUGCCGAUGUCCCUGACGGGGAAAUAGGUGAUGUCCCUCCAAUCCAUGAAUGCAGAAUAAUUUGGAAGAAGGCAUUAUCUCCACCAAACAAUUAACAGAUCAUAAUGACCCAAUCACAGAAGACAAUUACGCAUAGUUAAUUAGUCAUGAUAGCAUGUAAAUGCACAUAAUGCCUAGCUUUACUUCGGUUUAAAAAAAUGGCAUAUUAAAGAAUCUUCCACCACUAAUGAGCGAGAAUAAAAAAAGGCCUUUUGGAGGAACAUGCCUGUUGGCGAUUUCGCAGAUUUGAUUGAUAAUUGAGUGAAAAAUCAGGCCAAUAAUUGCAAUAAAAUACAGAAAAUAUCAUUAUAUUGAACGCUGAUUAAAGUUAUAAAAUCACAAUAAAAAUAAAGAAAAGAAUAUUUCAUUAUCUUCAAUGCUGUUAAAGUAAUAAAAUCACAAAAAAAUUAAGAAAAGAAUAUUUCAUUAUCUUCAAUGCUGGAAAAAUGAUGUUGACAAAUAAAAGGGAAAACCUACAACUCGUAUAACUUUGAUUCAUUUAGAUUAUAUUUAUCUGCCACACCAUUUUAUAGAACCUCUCAUUUACCUCACCGAAUAUUGUCUUUAAUUUCGAAUAAUAGCUUAAAAAGUAUAAUUUUUGUAUUUGGGCACUUUUUACAUGAUUCGUAAAUAUAUGAAGAUUCGAAAUAUGUAACUUCGCGUUUGUAAAAUAGAAGUCUGUAAAUUUAAUAUAUGUAAAUUAGAGGUUAAUAUUAUUCUUCAUAAUAUAACCAUCAUAUAUCAAUAUCAUUGUAUUCUGAUUGAAUAUAAAAAUGAUAGCAGCUUAAUUUGAACAAUAAUAAUUUUAUCUAAAUUAUACGUGUACAAUACAAUGACGACUCCUAAAUUGAUUAUAAAUUUAUACUAUAAUAUUAAUUUUCACUUACAUGGACUAAAUUUCGUGAAAUAUAUAAUUGACACUGGCAUACAUUAUUUGUACUGUAAUUUGGCUACGUAAGAUACACAUUUCACUGGAAAAACUGGAGUUAAUGCCUUACUUCAGAUUUUUCACGCACCAUUGACUCCUGUUAAAAUUUGGAAUAGUGCAUUAUCUCCAUUUAAAUAGGGUUAAAGAACAAAAAUCACCAUGAAAAUUAUUUAAUGUUUUUUAAUUAUAUGUUUAGUAUAUUUGCCAAAAAAAAUUACUAGAAUUCAUUUCCAGUAUAAAAGGCUAACGACAAACGCGUUUUGCUCAAUAACUCAAAACUAGGAUUUUGGAGUUAAUGCCUUUUUUCCAAAUCACGGCAGUAUAUUCUGUAUAAUUAUUUUGCAAGAUUUUUUUUUUUUCAGAGGGGUGUUAACACAGAUAGUGGAAGUACCUGCCAAGAAGAUGUCUUUGAAGGUGUUCACAAGAAUGUUGCGGGCAGGAGCUAGCACACGAGCGCCGACGGGAGUUAAAUACCGGGGCCCUAAAACAAGCAUAAAGGAAAACUGCACCCUAGCAACCCCUGGAUGCACCACUGAUAUGAUUAGCUGUGAAUGCAAAACCAAAGAAAUAAACCUAGUAUGUAUCGAAAUCAACAACAAAGGGAAACCUUCCUACAAUGAGCAAAUUAAUGCUGAGCGAUACCACCCACGGCAAUUUGCAAGAAUUCAAUGAAAUUUAGUU
rnacentral:misc_RNA from 1 species